rnacentral:snoRNA from 1 species
AUCCACUUUAGAGAUGAGAAUAGGCACUGCCGAUCACAUCGUCCAAAAAUGGUUCCCCUGGCUAGUUGAGACACAGGUUAUACUUCCAUCAUGGUAAAUGGAUUGCAAUGGUGACGAGUGCUGUCACAUUU